rnacentral:rRNA from 1 species
UACGUAGGGUGCAAGCGUUAAUCGGAAUUACUGGGCGUAAAGCGUGCGUAGACGGUUAUUUAAGUCGGGUGUGAAAGCCCCGGGCUUAACCUGGGAACUGCAGUGAGGACUGGAUGGCUGGAGUGUGGCAGAGGGGGGUGGAAUUCCACGUGUAGCAGUGAAAUGCGUAGAGAUGUGGAGGAAUACCGAUGGCGAAGGCAGCCCCCCUGGGAUAACGACUGACGCUCAUGCACGAAAGCGUGGGGAGCAAACAGG